CCAUUCUAAGUCAAAUUAUACCAAAGUUGUUCCACAUUUCUACAAAAUAGCACCUGGUAUUGAUAGAACACGCAUGAACAGCUGAAGAGAGACAGGAAAGGGGGGAGAGAAAGGGGCAUGCAGCAAAGGGCCUCAGGCUCAAAUCAAACCCAGCUCACUGCAUUGCUCUACCAGCUGGAGCUUGGCUGACAGCUUGUAAUCGAACUGCUCAGACACAUGGCAAAUGACAGACCAUCCUUCAGCUGGUCCACCAUGAGGCACCUGCCUGUGCUGAACUGUCCUUAAUCAAGGCAGUGAAACCCUUACCAGCUGCAGGAGUGCUUUGUUUCUCAGAAGAGAACUGAUCUGCACGGCUCAGUAAAGUUUUGACUGCAUGAAAUCAUUAGCAGAAAAUUAUGACAAAGUUAUUAUGAGUCAGCAACAGUAAAAUGCCACUGGGACUAUCAAUUUACAGGAGGAGCGGGCUUUUUUACUAUACUGGAGAAAAAUAAACUACUCAGUGUUU